rnacentral:rRNA from 1 species
AGCGAACGUUUGCGGCGGGCUUAACACAUGCAAGUCGAACGAGAAUCCCUUCGGGGAGGAAAGUGGCGCACGGGUGCGUAACACGUGGAUAACCAACCCAUUGGUUUGGGACAACACCGGGAAACUGGUGCUAAUACCAGAUGUGUCGCAGCUGUCUUCAGGCGGUUGCGAGAAAGGCCCGCAAGGGUCGCCAACGGACGGGUCCGCGUCCCAUCAGCUAGUUGGUGAGGUAAUGGCUCACCAAGGCAAAGACGGGUAGCUGGUCUGAGAGGAUGAUCAGCCACACUGGAACUGAGACACGGUCCAGACUCCUACGGGAGGCAGCAGUGGGGAAUAUUGCGCAAUGGGCGAAAGCCUGACGCAGCCACGCCGCGUGAGCGAUGAAGGUCUUCGGAUCGUAAAGCUCUGUGGGGAGAGAAGAAUAAAGCCUGUGAAGAGCGGGCCUUGACGGUAUC